rnacentral:rRNA from 1 species
ACGCUCGACACCUACGGGGGGCAGCAGUGAGGAAUAUUGGUCAAUGGGCGCUAGCCUGAACCAGCCAAGUAGCGUGAAGGAUGAAGGCUCUAUGGGUCGUAAACUUCUUUUAUAUAAGAAUAAAGUGCAGUAUGUAUACUGUUUUGUAUGUAUUAUAUGAAUAAGGAUCGGCUAACUCCGUGCCAGCAGCCGCGGUAAUCUGAGCGGGCUGGCAAGGC